rnacentral:rRNA from 1 species
AGAAUCAACGCUGGCGGCGUGCCUAACACAUGCAAGUCGCACGAGAAAGGGACUUCGGUCCUGAGUAAAGUGGCGCACGGGUGAGUAACACGUGAAUCAUCUACCUCCGAGUGGGGAAUAACCUAGAGAAAUCUGGGCUAAUACCGCAUAACACUUACGAGUCAAAGCAGCAAUGCGCUUGGAGAGGAGUUCGCGGCAGAUUAGUUAGUUGGCGGGGUAAUGGCCCACCAAGACGAUGAUCUGUAUCCGGCCUGAGAGGGCGCACGGACACACUGGAACUGAAACACGGUCCAGACUCCUACGGGAGGCAGCAGUGGGGAAUUUUGCGCAAUGGGGAAACCCUGACGCAGCAACGCCGCGUGGAGGAUGAAAUAUCUUGGUAUGUAAACUCCUUUCGAUGGGGAAGAUAAUGACGGUACCCAUAGAAGAAGCCCCGGCUAACUUCGUGCCAGCAGCCGC